GUGAGGAAUAUUGGUCAAUGGACGAGAGUCUGAACCAGCCAAGUCGCGUGAAGGAAGACGGUUCUAUGAAUUGUAAACUUCUUUUGUGCAGGAAUAAAGUGGGUUACGUGUAACCUUUUGUAUGUACUGUACGAAUAAGGAUCGGCUAACUCCGUGCCAGCAGCCGCGGUAAUACGGAGGAUCCGAGCGUUAUCCGGAUUUAUUGGGUUUAAAGGGUGCGUAGGUGGAUUAAUAAGUCAGCGGUGAAAGUUUGCAGCUUAACUGUAAAAUUGCCGUUGAAACUGUCGGUCUUGAGUGCAAAUGAGGUAGGCGGAAUGUGUUGUGUAGCGGUGAAAUGCUUAGAUAUAACACAGAACUCCGAUUGCGAAGGCAGCUUACUGGGAUGCAACUGACACUGAUGCACGAAAGCGUGGGUAUCAAACAGGAUUAGAAACCCUAGUAGUCC
rnacentral:rRNA from 1 species